AUGGCGGAAUAUGACCUUGCAAUCCAUUAUGAGAUAAAUUUAGAACGCGAAGCGCAAUAAGAUCUCCCAUAAUACUUGGAAUGUAUCCUUCAAAUUUGUUAUUUGAAAGAUCAAUGGUUGUGUAAAUAGUCAAAAUUUGGAGAAGUUCAAGCUCCAGCCCCUUGGAUGAAACCAUAACAGAAUCAUGGUAAUAUGAAUCUCCAAGAUAUCUUGGUUCCUUCGAUGUUUGAUCAAUUGUCCUCAUGGCUUUCAGAUGUUGAAACAAACUCGUCGGCAAGUUUUUGGAAAAAUCAUUGCGAGAGAGAUCAAAGAUUCGAAGCUCAAGAAACAUGUGUUCACUUCCUGAAGUUCUAAUGGGUCCAUGCAACUUAUUCAAUCUCAAGCUUAAAACUCGAAGCUCAGGAAGAGUUCCCAACCACAUUGGAAAUGUAUCAUUCAGGAGAUUGUCUCCUAAAUCAAGAACUUCCAGUCGUUGGCAAUUUUCCAAGAAUUGUGGAAUUUUUCCCUCUAGCUUAUUUCCAUGCAAAUUGAAGCUUCUUAGUGCACUUCCAAUGCUAAAAGUUGUUGGAAGAGUACCAGAAAUAUUGUUGUGCUUCAUAUCGGUGAUUCUCAUAAAGAUACAAAUGGGACAAGUUGUUCAAAGUCCCCAAUGAAGGAGGAAUAGAACCAUUAAGAAAAUUGGUACUCAAAGCUAGUUCAGUAAGAGACCUUAGGUAACCUAUCUCUUCCAGAAUGGAACCAUUUAAAUGGUUUUCAAAUAUGUGGAAGGCCUGAAUCCUGGCUAGUGAGCCGAUUUGUGGUGGGAUUGUGCCUGAAAUCUGAUUCACGGACAAGUUAAGAUAGAUAAGAUUAGUGAGAUUACCGAUCUCAGGUGGAAUUGUGCCAGAGAGAUUGUUCAUGCUAAGAUCAACAUAUUUAAGAAAAGGGAGGGAUGAGAAUGGAAAAGCAUAGAGUGUACCAAAGACACUAGCAUUUCUAAUAUUCAACCUGUUUACCCUACCAUUAAAGCAAACAACUCCAUACCAGUCAUUGCAUGCAUCAGGACUUGGUUUCCAUGAAACCAAUAAGGAAUUAUUCUGGUUCUUGAAAGUUGCUUUCCAUUUUAGGAGAGCCGUUGCUUCCUCAGUUGAAGCAAAAGUAAUUGUAAAGAGAGUGAAAAACUGAAGUAAAGAGAAUAAUAUUUUCGAAACCAUCAUCAUGUACUGUUAACGAAUUUGAGUUGAUAAUUUUUGUUGUUGAUGGAUGAAAUUGAUGCAGGGUAUACUAUUUAUAUUGUAAUAAACCAAUAAAAGCCUUACGUGUAAACUAAGGCGUAGAAUCAGAAUGACUUUUAAGUCAAUGAGUCUUCAUAUUACUGUGUAAAUCACGGAAAGCACAAUCACUAAUUAUUCUUUGUGGUCGGUCCACUAGAAUAUCGUUGUUGAAAUGUAUGACUCGUUAUGUAUUUUUUUCUUAGAUAGUUGUCCCACAAGAUAAUUAAGAAUGUUUUUCUUAGGUAGUCAUCUUUACAAAUUGGGAGAAAAUUAUUUUUUUAAAGUUCUUUUAAUUGUUGGGUGUGAGAACUAAUGUCUCACAUUGGUAGCUAAAAGGAUUGGAAAGCUAUAUAUAAGGUGUAGGAUCUCUUAAUGGUAUGAGGCUUUCUGGGGAAAAUCGUGCGGGUUUAAUCCAAGGGGACAAUAUCACACCAUCUAAGGGUUUCUUUUGGCUGGUUUAGUCCAACAACUGGCAUCAAAACUCUGGUUCAGUAGGAUGAGUAGGAAGAUGUGGCGGAGAUGCAUACACAAGAAGAAGCUAGUUGCAGACCUCGAUAUCCAUAAAAAUACUGAAACGAUGUCGGUGGAAAUAAUAAAUCUCGCUGACCGUGGAUCGUGAUGAUGGUGAUGAGCCAUGUGGAAUUUAGUUCAAGGUGGAGAUUGUUGGGCAUGUGAACAAAAGUCCUUCAUUGAUAGCUAAAAAGAUUGAGAAGCUACAUAAAGGGGUAACUUUACUAGUUACUUCAACUCCCCUUCUGUUUAAGUGAGUAUUGGUCUAAAUAUGUUGUUUCCAUUCGCAAAGUCAUUAGUAUCUUCCUCCAUCGAUUCAACUCUUCUCAAUGCUCUUUCUAAUAUUAAAAGUCAUCGGAAGAGUCCCUGAAAGACUUGUGGUGCAUAUCCAGAACCUCGAGGACACUGAUGUUACCCAAACACUGUGGAAUUGCUCCCUUCAAGUUAGUUUCUUGCCAAAUCUAGGAUUACCAGUGAUGCCAAAUUGCAAAUUGAUGACGAAAUUUCUUCAUUGAGAUUAUUUUGGUUGCGAGAAUUAAGGAAACACCUCCACAAAUUCAUUAUAUUUUUCCAUGGAAAUGUAAAAUGAAAGGGAAAAAUGUUUUCUUCAAAUGUUGCAAAUUCAGCUGCCAUCUCUAUAAUUCACACUUUGUGUUAUAAACCAAAUGGGAGAGCCCAACCCAAAAGACUAGCUUAGUAGGUGAGAGCACCCAUUGGCUUAUAACCAAGUAGCAUUUCUCUUUUUUUCCAAUGUGGGACAUUGGUUCAUUACAAUUGCCUCCGCUUGAGAACCAAUAACCUCGUUGGUCAUGACUAUGCCCAGUUGGUCACGGCUAGCACCUCUCUUGGGUCCAGGCCACACUACUGGCACACAGUCCACCACUCCGAGACAUAUGUGGUUUGUUCCUCGUUGGUCACGGCUAUGCCCAGUUGGUCACGACUGGCACCCCUCGGGUCCAGGCCACCACUACUGGCACAUAGGCCACCACUCCGAGUCACGGCCCCCACGCAUGGGACUCUCAAUGAAAGCACCAAUGUUAUAAACCAAACGGGAGAGCCCAACCGAAAAGACUAGCCUUGUAGGUGGGAGAACCCAUUGAUUUAUAACCCCCUUAGCAUUUCUCUUUUUUUCCAAUGUGGGACAUUGGUUCAUUACACUUUGUCUCUAUUCAUAUCUUAUCACAGAAACUGUUGUCAUUAUCAAGUCAAAUUUGGAUAGUUCUGUAUAUUUAUUUUUCAAAAAAUGUGUUGCACAUCUACAUUUUCCCCCAAGAUAACAAAACUAUCAUACACAAAAUAAUUACUUCUCUCAAAAAUAAAACAAGCUUAAAAAGUAGAGAAUCAUAUGUUGUGCUACUAUUAUAUUUUCUACGACAGACGUCCUUUUAAUUUGAAUUGUCAGUUCAGGUGAAAGUAUUUUUCACUCUAAUAGCUAAAUAUCAUUCAACUUCUAUUCUCUUCACUUUAAGUUUAAUUUUUGAUUUUGACGUGACAACUUCAAUGUACUCAAGACUUGGUUUACAUUUCAGUCUUCCUCUUCCUCUUUAACUUUUAAGAAAAAAAUUGGUGUUACUCCUCAAAGUAAAAAAGGAAAAUAAAAAUUCAAGUUUUAGUAGUGCUACAGUAUCAAUGAAUGAGGGAUUUUUCCAAGUUACAUCUAUUUGUUCUUUUGCUGAUGCGAUUUCUUUUGUCGAAACCAUUUUCUUUCCCUUUGUAAGGGAGUCCCUCUUGGAUUCUUCACCUACACUUUUGAAGACGGAAUACUAAAGAGAAGACAAGUUUUGAUUCAUAAUAUUUUCUUGUUGUAAUUCGUAACGGAUCAGUUACUUAGUGAGCUCUAUUCUGUUUGCGAAACAAAUAUGGUUUGAAACUAUGAAUUAAAUGGCUUAUGUAACGAGACAUUCAAAGUUGAGCAUAUGAACUUGAAAAAUAUAGUAAGUUAAUAAAGCUUAAGUUGAUUAAUACAAACUAAAGAAGAACAAAUGUAGAUGCAGACAUCUCUUAAAAUAAAGCUUAUUAGUGAAACACAACAGUAACCAACUGCACUGCACCAACGUCUUCUUAUCCUUGACAUCUGAAAUUUGAAAAAUAAGAUAGUGAGCGUCAAACACUUAUCAAUAAGAAAAAUAUACUUAUCAAGCAUAUGCCAUGAUUAUCCAAGAUGAAAUCCAGCAAGUAGCAGCAGCAACUUAACAGAUGAAGCAACUGAUAAAGUUGAAACCAUGGCUAUUCACACAAGUUCCAUGAGUUCACAGGCAAGAAGAGGUAAAGGAUUUAGAGGAAGGCAGCAGCAGUGUGAUUUUUGUAGAAUGAAAGGCCACACAAAGGAAAACUGCUACAAGCUUGUUGGAUAUCCACCUGGUUUUCAAAAUAGGAAGUUUUCUGGAAGUGGAGGAUUUGGUGUUGGUAAUUCUGAUGGAUGGAGAAGAAAUGCAUGCACUUCUGAUAACUGGAGAAAAGAGCAACCACCCACAGUGAAUAACACUAAUGUAGCAUCUACAUCUAGGAUUAAUGGAGAAGUUUCAUCUUCUCGGUGCAACACCGGAUUUCAGUCAGAAAAACAGUUUUACAACCCCUUUUCUGAUGAACGAUACAAACAGAUCUUUAAGUUUGCUGAACAAGGAUUCAGGAGAGCAUCAUGUCAACAUGGCAGGUAUUGUAACUUUCUUGAUGUCUCAUUUUCUUUCUAAAACUGAAUGGGUCAUUGAUUCUGGAGCCACACAUCAUGUUACUACAAAUCUACAAUUGUUGAAGGAUAGGGUCAAUCUAGAUGCCUCUAAAAGAGAUAAGUGCAUUUACCUACAGGAGAGAAAACUGAAAUUACUCACACAAGAAGUGCCAACUUAUUUGGGAAUGAAAAAAUGAAGGGUGUGUUAUUUGUUCCCGAGUUUAGAUUUAACCUUUUAUCAGUGUCAAAAGUGACUAAAGAGCUGUCUUGCUUUUUCAUCUUUUUCCCUGAUUUCUGUGUGUUUCAGGACCUCUACAAUGGCAGGGUGAAGGGGAUUGGUAAAGAGCAAGGAGGCUUGUAUGUGAUUGAUGGAGAUUCAGUGGAAUCUAUGGUAACAAAUAAGAUGAAAACAACAUGUAUGACUAAUAGUGAUGCCGAUUACAGUUUAUGGCAUAAGAGAUUGGGACAUCCAUCAUCCACAAUAAUGAAGAAGAUUCCAGAGUUAAAUAAGUCUUCUAGCACUACUUUAGAAAAGGAUUGUCAUAUUUUCCCCUUGGCAAAACAAACUAGGCUACAAUUUCCACUUAGCGAAACUAGAGCAGAUUUUCCAUUUCAGCUUGUACAUAUGGAUCUCGGGGGUCCAUAUAAGGUCCCGACUUAUGAUAAGAAAUACUAUUUAUUAACUGUUGUGGAUGAUCAUUCUAGAUUUACUUGGAUUUAGUUGUUGCAAUUAAAGUCUGAGGUGAUUGUUGUGCUUAGACAGUUUUUAGCCAUGAUAAAAAAUCAGUUUGGCAUGAUAAUCUAGGUUUUGAGGUCUGAUAAUGGUGCGGAGUUCGUUAAUUCUAAGUGUAAAGAAUUGUUGUUUUCUCUUGGCAUUGAGAAUCAAAGUAGUUGCCCUUAUACUCCCCAGCAAAAUGGGAUUGUGGAGAGAAAGCACAGGUAGAUUUUAAACAUUGCUAGAGCCUUGAGGUUUCAGGCUAUGAUACCUCUUAGAUACUGGGGAUUAUGUGUCAAGGCUGCAGUUUAUUUGAUGAACAGGUUGCCUUCAGUUACACUAGCUGGACAUACACCAUAUGAACUACUGUUUCAUAAGAAACCUUCCAUCACUCAUUUAAAAGUCUUUGGUAGCCUUUCUUAUGCAACAAAUUUGUUGAAAAAAGACAAGUUUGGACCAAGAUCAAGAUCUGCGGUGCUACUUGGUUUUUCAGAACUGCAGAAAGGUUACAUAUUGGUUGACUUAAUUACUAAAGAUAUAUUUGUCAGCCGAGAUGUGGUUUUCAGGGAAAAUAUAUUCCUUUUUAGUUCACCAGAGUCACUACAGCACUAUCAUCAUAACCUAAGGUUAUGCAUCCAGCUUGUCUUAGUGAUACAGGUAUGGAUUCACUUCACACUUUGUCGUCUUCACCUUUGGAUUAUGCAAGUGACACUGAUAUGGUUCCUGAAGUGCAAGCACCAGCAAAUCCUGCACCUCCAGUUAGUAUUACCACUGAUAUUGCUCCUGAUUCUAAUAUUGAUACUAAAAGAAGAUCAACCAGGACCUCUAAAGAACCCCUUUGGAUGAAAGACUAUGUUGGCAGGCCCAAAGCACAAUGCAAUAAUGUUCUAUAUCCUUUAUCUGACUAUUUGUCUUAUGCUAAUACCUUUAUCUAGCCGAUUUCUCAUCUUUGGUAGAACCUCAAGGCUUUAGUGAGGCCGUAAAGGAUAAGAGAUGGGUUGAUUCCAUGAAGGUUGAGAUCAAAUCACUUGAAGAUAACAAGACUUGGGAAAUUGUAGACCUGCCCACCGGGAAGAAUAUAGUAGGCUCAAAAUGGGUUUACAAGGUUAAAUUUCAAGAAAAUGGAGAAGUGGAGAGAUUCAAGGCUAGAUUGGUAGCCAAAGGUUAUAGUCAGAGGGAAGGUCUAGAUUAUCAUAAGACCUUUUCACCUAUAGCCAAGAUGGUUAUAGUCAGGUCAAUUAUCGCUCUUGCAGCAUCAGAAGGUUGGAAACUCUUUCAAAUGGAUAUGUUUAAUGCCUUUCUUCAAGGUGACUUAUGUGAAGAAGUAUUCAUGGAAAUUCCUGAAGGUUUCAGAAGACAGGGGGAGACUAAAGUGUGUAGGCUAUUAAAAUCUUUAUAUGGACUUAAACAAGCAUCCAGGCAGUGGAAUAUUAAAUUGACCGAAGCACUGAUACAAGCUGUUUUUACUCAAAGCAAUUAUGACUAUUCCUUAUUUACUAAGAAGGAAGGAGAAGAUAUAGUAAUCACCUUAGUUUAUGUAGAUUAUUUACUAAUCACUGGAAGUUGUAACAAGAUGAUAAACUCAGUGAAGAUGCAAUACAUCAACAUUUCAAAGUAAAAGACUUAGGAGAACUGAAAUUUUUCUUGGGAAUUGAAGUGUUGAGAUCCAAGACUGGAAUAUUGUUGAAUCAAAGAAAGUAUGUGUUAGAGCUAAUUUCAGAGUUGGGUCUUGGUGGAGUAAAACCUGCAGCAACACCUUUAGAAACUAAUAUCAGACUCACUAGUGUAGAAUUUGAUGAAGCAACAGGAGAGCAAAGUGAUGACUUAUUGUCAGACAUAGGAGCAUAUCAAAGGUUAAUGGGAAAACUUUUGUAUGUGACCAUAACAAGACUAGAUAUAAGCCCCACUGUACAGACCUUGAGUCAAUUCAUGCAAAGGAAAAAACAAUCUCAUCGGGAUUUAACUAUCAGAGUGGUGAAGUAUUUUAAGUUAGCAUCAGGACAAGGGAUCCUUAUUAGUGCAUCUACUAGUCAAGAACUUACAUGCUGGUGUGAUUCAGAUUGGGCAGCUUGUCCAAAUACUAGAAGGUCUAUGACAGGAUACUUGAUCAAAUUUAGGGACUCACUAGUGUCAUGGAAGUCAUAAAAGCAACAGACAGUCUCAAGAAGUUCUGCAGAGGCAAAGUAUAGGAGCAUGGCAUCAGCAGUGGCUGAAGUUACAUGGUUGCUAGGUUGAUAUCAAGAAAUAGUAAUCAAGGUGAAACAACCAGUGAAGAUUAUGAGUGACAGUAAGUCUGCAAUACAGAUUGCAUCUAAUCCAAUCUUUCAUAAAAGGACUAAACACAUUGAAAUUGAUUGUCAUUUCAUUAGAGACAAAAUCAAGGAUGGACUCAUUGAAGCUAUGUUUGUAAAGACUGAAGAACAAUAGGCAGAUCUAUUAACCAAAGGGUUAAGUAAAGCACAACACUCAUAUUUGAUGAGCAAGCUUGGAGUGUUCAAUAUCUUACAUCCUCCAGCUUGAGGGGGAGUGUUGAGAUUAGGCUUAACAGAUGAUGCUUAGAUAGUUAGUCUAUGUGAUCAAUUACUGGUAGAAUGUACAGCUGGCAAGGAAUGUACAGCUUUCAAGGUAGUUAGUUAUAGUCUACAGCUGGAAGCAGUUAGUGGAGUUAUUGUUUAGUGUGCAUAUAUAAUGCUGUGUAACAGAACCAACCAGAGAACUCAUUCUUCUUUUCAUCUAAUAAAAAAAUAUCUUCUCCAAUAUUUCUCUCUCUAGAUUGAUCUCCGUUGAUGAACUUAUGGAAACAUUCAUGAAGCUCUUAGCCUAGAUUUCUACAUGUAUGACUCCUUGAAGCCCGUUCUCUUGACUGGAGGACUACAGGUUAGCGUUUGUCUGUUUUUGUGCUUUUGCUUUUUAUUGGUUUACGUGGAUUUUGAUAAUAUCAUUGGCUCAACAAUUUCACUUGGCUUAUUUUGAUGUUUACGAGAUAGUUUUUUUGCUAGCUUUGCUCUCGGGUGGCUGAUUACCAACAGUGCCGGUCUUGCCUCAUACCCAAUUGACACAGUCCGAAGAAGAAUGAUGAUGACCUCCGGUGAAACUGUCAAGUGCAAGAGCUCACUUGACGCAUUCUCCCAGAUUCUUAAGAACGAGGGUCCCAAAUCUCUUUUCAAAGGAAAUGGUGCUGACAUCCUUCCUGCCGUUGCUGGUGCUGAUGUGUUGGCUGGAUAUGAUAAACUUCAGAUGAUCGUUUUUGGAAAGAAAUACGGCUCUGGCGCUGCCUAAAUUCAGACCACAUAUAGCAUCCUUUAGGAUUAGCUAUUGAUGAAAAUCUAUCUGCAGUGCAAUAUGAGGAUUCUUUUGGAAAGGCGUUUUACAUUUUUUCCUCUUUUUCGUUUUUGAAUAAUUUGAAAAAAUUUCGAGAUCUUUAUGCAGAGGUUAUAUAUUGUCAUACUCAAAACUUUUGAUAUAAUUAAAAGAGACGGAUUUGACUACAUCUACUUGUACUUUUGCUGAUGUGAUUUCUUUUGACAACAACAUUUCUUUCCUUUUGUAUGUGAGUCCCUCUUAGAUUCUUCGCAUACUCUUGUGAAGAUGGGAUAUUCAAGAGAGUUCAUGUUUUGAUUCGUAAUUUUUCCCUGAUCUAAUUCGUGACAUAUCAGUUACUUGAUGAGCUAUAAGCGUAUUUCUAUUUGCGAAACAAAUAUGGUUUGAAAUUAGAAUCAUAUUUGAGCAUAUGAACUUGAAAAAUAUAUUAAGUUAAUAAAGCUUAAGUAGAUUAAGACAAACUAAAGUAGAACAAAUGUAGAAGCAGACAUCUCUCUAAAUAAAGCUUAAUAGUAUGCAAUUCCACUACGCUAUGUCUUCUUAUCCUUGACAUCUGAAAAUUGAAAACUAAGAUAGUGAGCGUUAAACACUUAUCAAUAAGAAAAAUUUGCUUCGGAGAGAGUAUCUAUUAGUUGUUGUUAUUAAAAAAAACUUGAAAACUAAUAUAUUAGUGUAGAACUUAUCUUGAAUACCUGUAAGUUCCUGAAAUCAAAUCUUUCUCCAUUGCUGAAUUGUCUAGAAGCGAUUAUUUCUUCUUCUGUAGUUCCUUUGCCUUCGCUGCUUCUUUCUCCUUGCCAUCAUAAUUGUGUGUCCCAGCUCUUCAACGAUUCUUUCAAGCCAUUUCAUAUUCCCAGUUGAGAUCAAGAUAUAUAUUAUGGAUAGUCCAAUACAUAGUUCGGUUCCAUACCCCAUAAGAGCGCCUUUCCAAAAAUCGUUGAGAAAUUCAGAGUUGCUUUCUUGAUUAUUUAGCACAGAUGUGGUGUAAUUUGUCUCGGAAACUAUAUCAGUACCACAACCUUUUGAAAGUGGGAAUCCACGUAAUCCAUCAUUAUCUUUGUAUGAAUUGUUCUCAAAUGUAGCAAAUUGAGGUCCUCUAGGGAUGCAUCCUUCAAGAUUAUUGUGGAAGAGAUUGAAAAAUUCAAGAGUCGUAAGAGAAGCAAUUUGUUUUCGUAUCUCUCCAGAGAGAUGGUUAAAUGAAAGGUCCAAUGAUUCAACCAAGGAUAAAUUUCCAAAUGAUGGUGGAAUAUGACCUUGCAAUCCAUUAUGAGACAAAUUCAAAACUCGGAGCGUGAUGAGAUCUCCCAUAAUACAAGGAAUAUGUCCUUCAAAUUUGUUGUUUGAAAGAUCGAUAGUUGUAUACAAAGACAAGAUUCUCACAACUUCAAGCUCCAAUCCCUUUGUUACGACAUCUACCGAGUCUUGGUAAUGUUGAUGAAGCUCAUAACUUGAUGCAUUUGUUUUUUUUAUCAAUUGUCCUCAUGGCUUUCAAAUGUUGAAACAAACUAUCGGCAAGUUUUUGGAAAAAUCAUUGCAAGAGAGAUCUAAGAUUUGAAGCUCAAGAAACAUGUAUUCACUUCCUGAAGUUCUAAUGGGUCCAUGCAACUUAUUCGACUUCAAGCUUAAAACUCGCAACUCGGGAAGAG
rnacentral:lncRNA from 1 species